GGACCGUCCACUUUAGGGAUUCAGUGUUUCUUCAGAAUAUUAUGAUUGCUGAGUAAAUUAUUUCUUCAAGUUUUAUAAUUUUAUCUUUCAGUGUGGAGUCAGCCAUACCCCUUUUCACACCUGGAAGGGUCUGGGCGGCUGUCCGUGUAUCCAGUAUUUUUGCUGUUAGCAGGAAACGUCAGGAGCUACAGAUCAGUUCAACUCUGAGCCAGGAUUUCAGAUGCAAGGACCUGAGCUAUGUUUGGUGUUAUUUUGCAUCUGAAUCACUGCAAUGCGGCUGAAAUACAGCCUUUCUGAUAUGACGUCUUCUGGCAAUUUAGUUAGAAGCUGUGCUGUGUGAAUAAAGUCCAUCUGUAGAAGAAUAUCUUCAUAUAAUUGGAGGAUUUAUAAUCCUGUCUUAAAUAAAACUUGUUCCCCAUCUCUGCAAAGUACAC
rnacentral:lncRNA from 1 species